rnacentral:rRNA from 1 species
AGCGAACGCUGGCGGCAGGCCUAACACAUGCCAGUCGAACGAACUCUUCGGAGUUAGUGGCGGACGGGUGAGUAACACGUGGGAACGUGCCUUUUGGUUCGGAAUAACUCAGGGAAACCUGUGCUAAUACCGAAUGUGCCCUUCGGGGGAAAGAUUUAUCGCCAUUAGAGCGGCCCGCGUCUGAUUAGCUAGUUGGUGAGGUAACGGCUCACCAAGGCGACGAUCAGUAGCUGGUCUGAGAGGAUGACCAGCCACACUGGGACUGAGACACGGCCCAGACUCCUACGGGAGGCAGCAGUGGGGAAUCUUGCGCAAUGGGCGAAAGCCUGACGCAGCCAUGCCGCGUGAAUGAUGAAGGUCUUAGGAUUGUAAAAUUCUUUCACCGGGGACGAUAAUGACGGUACCCGGAGAAGAAGCCCCGGCUAACUUCGUG